AGGAAACCUGGGGCCUAAUGCUCGUACUCGAUAUCGAGUUGUUUCGAUAGAUAAUUUGAAUUUUUGGAUUACCGUAUCCGUGAUCGAAUAAAAUUUAUCGAUAUGUCGAAUAAAACUAUUCGAGUUUUUGCCCGCCACAUUCUACCUGUCGAGACCAAAACAAAACAGAAGAAAAACGAAAUGAGCACGAAUUGCAACAAAAUAAAUUUUAAGCAAAAGGCAAUUAUGGCAGAUUUUAUGUCUGACCACCCGGGACUUGCCAAAGGAAAAAUUUCGAAUUGUCCAGAAGGUAGAGCGUCAUCCAAUCGUUUGUGGUAGCAGUUAACAACCAAAUUAAAUGGAGCAGGACCACCCGUAAAGAAUGUCACCUUGUGGCGAAAGGUUUAUGCAGACCAAAAACAACAAGUUAAGAAGAAAUUAUCUUUUAACAAGGCAUCAAAGAAUCAGACAGGUGGAGGCCCAUAUGAAGAAAAACUCCUCACCCAAUCAGAAGAGCUGAUACUGGAAGCAGCAGGAUUAUCAGCGGCUGUAGAGGGGCUUUCUUCAGUCCAAAGUUUUGGUGCAAAAAAAGGAAUGGAAGUGGAUAGGAAGGAAAACGACGAGGAAGAACUGAUGGAUGUAGAAAAUGAUAUGGACUGCAGCAUUGGUUCCACUGUGCCUUCAUCUACUCAACGUCGUACCAAAUCAGCCUCCAAGAUGGAUCUUUUGAAAGAGAAUAUAGAAAAACACGAUGAAGGGAUGCGCGAAAGGAAGUUGUUUUGGGAUACUCUAAUGGAUUGUAAAAGAAAGUCCCUCAAAAUUAAAGAGGAAACAUAUAAAUUGAAAGAAAGAUCUUUAAAAAUAAAGGAAGAAGAGCAUAAGUCAAAUAUGGCUAUAAAUAAGGUCGAGCUUGAGAUUAAAACGUUGGAAUUGAAUUUGCUGAAACAAAAGGCCGAUUUGUAAGAAAAAAAAUUGUAUAUUUGUACCUGUAUAUUACUAUGGACUUUUCUAGUAACCCAUGUACCUUACCAUAAAAUAAUGAAAUGAAUAGCUUUGUUUAUUUAUAAUUACACUAGAAUGUAUUAAUUGAAUUAGUUUUGUUUUUGUUGAUUUCUUUAAUAAAAUAUUUAUUUUUACAUAGAU